GCUGGUUGAACCGAUGGUGGAACGACCAGUUGCACCAGUGGAAGGAUUUCUGGCACCAGCGGCUGAGCUUGAUUGUCUACCUGGCUAGCCAUCUGUCGGGAGGCGGUGGCAUUGGAAAGCCGAGAAGAUGUUCAUCUUGAAGACAUAAAUGCAAACGUGGCCCUUUCUCUAUUUGUUGCUGCUGAAAUCGAUCGAGAUCGGAAGACGGACACCUGAUAACUUCGAGCGGGGAUGCUGGUGCUGAAGCCUGCAUAAUAAGUCCCAAAUUGGAGUUGUGGCUCUAGUGAGGACCCUCCGAUGCUCAAGUCAGA
rnacentral:lncRNA from 1 species